UUAAAAAGCUCGUAGUUGGAUCUCGGCAAGUAGAGGGCGGUAUGCUUCGUAGCAUUACUGCCCUAUUACUUGUAGUUUUGCCAGAGGUUCCUGGGUGCUCUUAAUCGAGUGUCUAGGGAUGCUGGCAGGUUUACUUUGAAAAAAUUAGAGUGCUCAAAGCAGGCUAUUACGCUUGAAUAUUCGUGCAUGGAAUAAUAGAAUAGGAAGUUGUUUCUAUUUUGUUGGUUUUCGGAAAUCGACUUAAUGAUUAAUAGGGACAGUCGGGGGCAUUUGUAUUCAAACGACAGAGGUGAAAUUCUUGGACCGUUUGAAGACAAACUACUGCGAAAGCAUUUGCCAAGAAUGUUUUCAUUAAUCAAGAACGAAAGUUAGAGGUUCGAAGGCGAUUAGAUACCGCCCUAGUUCUAACCAUAAACGAUGUCAGCUAGCGAUCUGAGGACGUUUUUUUUGUAGACUCCUCAGGAAGCUUCCGGGAAACCAAAGCGUGUGGGUUCCGGGGGA
rnacentral:rRNA from 1 species